GGGCACAGAUCAAGUAUUAGACGUGUGACCCACGGUACAAUUAAUCAUUUAACAAAUAUUUACAGAGAAACUUCUAUGUGCUGGGUGAUGUUCUGGACAUUGUGGCUAACGUUAGAACAAGACAAGCCAACCACUGCCCCGCGGAGCUUCCAGCAUCUCUGGGAGAGACAGACCAGCCUUAAGAUAUGUGACUACGUAUGGUAUGUCAGGUGUUCGUGUCAUGGAGAAAACUCAUGCAGGAAGGGAGUGGAUGGAAGCACUGGGUGGGUCAAGGUGAGUGCUGCUCUGCAAUUUUGAGCAGGGUGGUGAAAGGAGGCCCUGCUGAGAUGACGACGUUUAGGUAAAGACCUGAAGCAGACGCAAGAAGGUGCAGUCCUGCUAUGAGUUGGGCCCCCCACCUUAGAGGGGCAGAAGGAGGCGAGCGGGGCUGCAGGGAGAGCGGGGGAUGGUGGGGGUGAAGUUAGGGUGACACAGGAGGCCAGACUCUUAGGACCUCAGAGGCUGUGGUGGGGACAUCAGCUUCCGCUCUGAAAGGAACUGGGGUCAGGAGAGGGUGGCCUGCCCUGGCGCCUGUGUCAGUAGCGUCCCUCUGGUGAUUACAGGAAUCCAGGUGAGAGAUGAAGAUGACCUGGAUUAGAGGUGGAGGUGGGGGAAGGGUUUGGGUGCUAGAGAAAUUUUGAAAGAACAGCCGAUAGGAUCCGCUGAGGACAUGCAAGUGGGUGGGAGAGAAAGAGAUGGGUUAAAGGUGACUCCAGGGCUCCUGGCCUGAGCAACUGGAGGGAGAAAGGGUUGUAUGCUGAGACAGAGAAGACCCCGGGGAGCACAGUUCACCAGCACAAAACCAAAAUGCCCCGUCACAGAAAGAAUGGCUGCCUUUGGGGGUCCUUGCUGGCAGCAACGCUGUGAGGAGGUCUCCCUUCCUUUGCAGUCAGCUUGGCAGAAGCCGCCGGGCAGCCAGGUCCUGUGAAGACCGUGGAAGAGCCAUGCCGGUUUUGUUUGCUGCCAGCGCCCCAGCCCUGCACCCCAGCAGCCACAGAGCGCCUCCUGAGCACAGUCCCAGCACAUGCGUGGUGCCGCCCACACAGCCCAGCAGCACUGCCAUAUGGAACCCCACAGAUGCUGUAAUCCUGCUGGACAAGACGUCGGCAUCCCUGUCAGUGGGAGGGCAGUUCCCCUGCACAGGCCCUCUUGCCUGCCGCCAUGG